rnacentral:rRNA from 1 species
GCAAGUCGAGGGGUAACAGGGAGCUUGCCCCGAUGACGACCGGCGCACGGGUGCGUAACGCGUAUAGAACCUACCUUUUACAAAGGGAUAGCCUUUAGAAAUUAAGAUUAAUACCUUAUAGUAUUAAAGAUUCGCAUGAAUUUUUAAUUAAAGAUUUAUCGGUAAAAGAUGGCUAUGCGUCCUAUUAGCUAGAUGGUAAGGUAACGGCUUACCAUGGCAACGAUAGGUACGGGGCCUAAGAGGAAGAUC